rnacentral:rRNA from 1 species
GACGUAGGGCGCGAGCGUUGUCCGGAUUUAUUGGGCGUAAAGCGUGCGCAGGCGGUUUUGUAAGUCAGAUGUUAAAUGCCCGGGCUUAACCUGGGAACUGCAUUUGUGACUGCAUGGCUAGAGUUUGGCAGAGGGGGGUAGAAUUCCACGUGUAGCAGUGAAAUGCGUAGAUAUGUGGAGGAACACCGAUGGCGAAGGCAGCCCCCUGGGUCAAGACUGACGCUCAUGCACGAAAGCGUGGGGAGCAAACAGG